UGCCUCUCUAUGCUUCAAGCUCCUGUCUUGGGUUCCUGCCUUGGCUUCCCUCAACGAAGGACUGUAACUUUGUCACCUUGGCAAGAUUUGAACCAGCUUGCUGCCUGUGCCCUGGAAUACUUGCCACCUGACCCUACCUGCCCUUGGAGGUUGGAGGUGAGGUGGCCUGGCAUCAAUGACACAGACUUGGGGAGCAGCUCAGUGGGAGCUGGGGUACUAUUGCCUCAACAUUGCUGACCCCACCUCGGAGCACUCCCAUACUGGACUGUGCUGUUCCUCCUACACCAGGAGACACAGUCAUUGCCACCUUCCUGAGAGAGCUGCAUCCACCAUGGUGCCAGAGAGGUGGGAGAGUAACCGCCAAACAGACACUCCUGAGUUUCAAUCCCAGAAGUGUGGCUGGGAAUCCGGAGAUCUUCAAGAAGUUAUUUAACUUUUUUAAACCUUAAAUUGUGUAUGUGCAUGACAGUGCCCACAGGGGCCAGAUGAGGGCGUCAGAUGCCCUUGAACUGGAAUCACAGAUGUUUGUUAGCUGCUCAGCAUGAGUGCUGGAAACCAAAUUCUGGUCCCGUGCAAGAGUA
rnacentral:lncRNA from 1 species